AUUCCUGUAGGUAAACCAAAUGAGGCUGAGAAAGAAUGGCGAUGGCUAUUUCCAACUCCAAAUGAUCCUCGACUAAUGGACCUUUGCAAUGAAUUUCCUUGACUUGACCGUCUAAAGGAUUCUGAAGAAAUCUCUGAUCCUUUAUUCUCAUCCGCAGCUUGUUCCGAAUCUUGAUUUAUUUCUUGUAACCGAAUAAGCUGAGAGUAUGCUCCAUCA
rnacentral:misc_RNA from 1 species